rnacentral:rRNA from 1 species
GGAGUAAUGCGUGACCAACCUGCCCCACUGCUCCAGAAUAGCUCUUGGAAACGGGGUAGGUAAUGCUGGAUGCUCCAACUUGACGCAUGUCUUGUUGGGAAAGUGUUUAGUGGCAUGGGAUGGGGUCGCGUCCUAUCAGCUUGUAGGCGGGGUAAUGGCCCACCUAGGCUUCGACGGGUAGCCGGCCUGAGAGGGCGGACGGCCACAUUGGGACUGAGAUACGGCCCAGACUCCUACGGGAGGCAGCAGGC